rnacentral:rRNA from 1 species
GGGGAUAUUGCACAAUGGGGGGAACCCUGAUGCAGCGACGCCGCGUGGGUGAAGGAGUGCUUCGGCAUGUAAAGCCCUAUCGGCAGGGAAGAAGCAAGACGGUACCUGACUAAGAAGCCCCGGCUAACUACGUGCCAGCCGCCGCGGUAAUACGUAGGGGGCGAGCGUUAUCCGGAUUCACUGGGUGUAAAGGGAGCGUAGACGGCCAUGCAAGCCAGGGGUGAAAGCCCGGGGCCCAACCCCGGGACUGCCCUUGGAACUGCAUGGCUGGAGUGCGGGAGGGGCAGGCGGAAUUCCUGGUGUAGCGGUGAAAUGCGUAGAUAUCAGGAGGAACACCGGCGGCGAAGGCGGCCUGCUGGACCGCGACUGACGUUGAGGCUCGAAAGCGUGGGGAGCGAACAG